rnacentral:rRNA from 1 species
CCUACGGGUGGCAGCAGUGAGGAAUAUUGGUCAAUGGGCGGGAGCCUGAACCAGCCAAGUCGCGUGAGGGACGACGGCCCUAUGGAUUGUAAACCUCUUUUGUCGGGGAACAAAGGCGCCUACGGGUGGGUGGAUGAGUGUACCCGAAGAAAAAGCAUCGGCUAACUCCGUGCCAGCAGCCGCGGUAAUACGGAGGAUGCGAGCGUUAUCCGGAUUUAUUGGGUUUAAAGGGUGCGUAGGCGGACGGUAAAGUUAGCGGUAAAAAUGCGGUGCUCAACGCCGUACAGCCGUUGAAACUGGCAGUCUUGAGUGGACGAGAGGGAGGCGGAAGGCGUGGUGUAGCGGUGAAAUGCAUAGAGAUCACGCAGAACUCCGAUUGCGAAGGUAGCAUACCGGCGCCCUACUGACGCUGAGGCACGAAAGCGUGGGUAUCGAACAGGAUUAGAUACCCCAGUAGUC